rnacentral:rRNA from 1 species
AUUGAACGCUGGCGGCAGGCUUAACACAUGCAAGUCGAGCGGAGAGAGGUAGCUUGCUACUGAUCUUAGCGGCGGACGGGUGAGUAAUGCUUAGGAAUCUGCCUAUUAGUGGGGGACAACAUUUCGAAAGGAAUGCUAAUACCGCAUACGUCCUACGGGAGAAAGCAGGGGAUCUUCGGACCUUGCGCUAAUAGAUGAGCCUAAGUCGGAGUAGCUAGUUGGUGGGGUAAAGGCCUACAAAGGCGACGAUCUGUAGCGGGUCUGAGAGGAUGAUCCGCCACACUGGGACUGAGACACGGCCCAGACUCCUACGGGAGGCAGCAGUGGGGAAUAUUGGACAAUGGGCGCAAGCCUGAUCCAGCCAUGCCGCGUGUGUGAAGAAGGCCUUAUGGUUGUAAAGCACUUUAAGCGAGGAGGAGGCUACUUUAGUUAAUACCUAGAGAUAGUGGACGUUACUCGCAGAAUAAGCACCGGCUAACUCUGUGCCAGCAGCCGCGGUAACAC